GCGUGGGAACCUGCCCCGAGGUACGGGACAACGGCUGGAAACGGCCGCUAAUACCGUAUGUGUCCUGAGGGAGAAAGAUUUAUCGCCUUGGGAGGGGCCCGCGUCCGAUUAGCUAGUUGGUGAGGUAAUGGCUCACCAAGGCGACGAUCGGUAGCUGGUCUGAGAGGAUGAUCAGCCACACUGGGACUGAGACACGGCCCAGACUCCUACGGGAGGCAGCAGUGGGGAAUAUUGGACAAUGGGGGCAACCCUGAUCCAGCAAUGCCGCGUGUGUGAUGAAGGCCUUAGGGUUGUAAAGCA
rnacentral:rRNA from 1 species